rnacentral:rRNA from 1 species
GAUGAACGCUGGCGGUAUGCUUAACACAUGCAAGUCGAACGGUCACUUCGGUGAUAGUGGCGGACGGGUGAGUAACGCGUGAGAAUCUGUCUUCAGGUCGGGGACAACAGUUAGAAAUGACUGCUAAUACCGGAUGUGCCUUUGGGUGAAAGAUUUAUUGCCUGAAAAAGAGCUCGCGUCAGAUUAGCUAGUAGGUGGUGUAAGAGACUACCUAGGCUCCGAUCUGCAGCUGGUCUGAGAGGACGAUCAGCCACACUGGAACUGAGACACGGUCCAGACUCCUACGGGAGGCAGCAGUGGGGAAUUUUCCGCAAUGGGCGAAAGCCUGACGGAGCAAUACCGCGUGAGGGACGAAGGCUUUUGGGUCGUAAACCUCUUUUCUCAAGGAAGAUGAUGACGGUACUUGAGGAAUAAGCAUCGGCUAACUCUGUG